AUUGAACGCUGGCGGCAUGCCUUACACAUGCAAGUCGAACGGCAGCACGGGUGCUUGCACCUGGUGGCGAGUGGCGAACGGGUGAGUAAUACAUCGGAACAUGUCCUGUAGUGGGGGAUAGCCCGGCGAAAGCCGGAUUAAUACCGCAUACGAUCUACGGAUGAAAGCGGGGGACCUUCGGGCCUCGCGCUAUAGGGUUGGCCGAUGGCUGAUUAGCUAGUUGGUGGGGUAAAGGCCUACCAAGGCGACGAUCAGUAGCUGGUCUGAGAGGACGACCAGCGACACUGGGGCUUGGCCACGGCCCAGGCUCCUACGGGAGGCAGCAGUGGGGAAUGUUGGACAGUGGGCGAAAGCCUGAUCCAGCAAUGCCGCGUGUGUGAAGAAGGCCCUCGGGUUGUAAAGCACUUUUGUCCGGAAAGAAAUCCUUGGCCCUAAUACGGUCGGGGGAUGACGGUACCGGAAGAAUAAGCACCGGCUAACUACGUG
rnacentral:rRNA from 1 species